rnacentral:rRNA from 1 species
UGGACAAUGGGCGCAAGCCUGAUCCAGCCAUGCCGCGUGAGUGAUGAAGGCCCUAGGGUUGUAAAGCUCUUUUGUGCGGGAAGAUAAUGACGUACCGCAAGAAUAAGCCCCGGCUAACUUCGUGCCAGCAGCCGCGGUAAUUA